rnacentral:rRNA from 1 species
GGGGGGGCAAGCGUUGUUCGGAAUUACUGGGCGUAAAGGGCGCGUAGGCGGCCCAGCAAGUCCUUCGUGAAAUCCCACAGCUCAACUGUGGAACUGCGGAGGAUACUGCCGGGCUUGAGUCCGGGAGAGGGGAGUGGAAUUCCCAGUGUAGCGGUGAAAUGCGUAGAUAUUGGGAGGAACACCGGUGGCGAAGGCGGCUCCCUGGACCGGUACUGACGCUGAGGCGCGAAAGCUAGGGGAGCAAACGGGAUUAGAUACCCCGGGUAGUCCUAGCUGUAAACGUUGAGCACUUGGUGUGGCGGGUAUCGACCCCCCUGCUGUGCCGAAGCUAACGCAUUAAGUGCUCCGCCUGGGGGAGUACGGUCGCAAGGCUG